GGGUACCGUACGGAGUAUUUGAAACACGGGAAAGAAGUACCACUCGGGUAAUAUUUCCAGAGGAGUUGCAAACGGAUCUGCCGGUUCACCAAUCAUUGAUGGCUCGAGAACCGCUAAACCUACAUUACAUGCAAUAGUACCUAGAAUUACUACUGGAAAAAUAUAUAAAAGAUCGUUGGGCCAUGCGGGUUCCCCGUAAUAAUUAUGUCCCAUCCCUUUAGCUAAUUUAGCUCUUAAUACAGGAUCAUUUAAGUCUGGUUUCUUUGUUAUUGGGAUAGGUGAACUCUUUAGGAUCCAUCCCCCAAAGGAACCGGACAUGAGAAUUUAUCAUCAUCCGGCUCGAGCAAGAGUGAAAGAAAUAAGACCGCGGAAGAUCCUUAAUAGAAUUAAGGUAUAUAAUGACUCAAUGACUCUAGGCAAGAAAAGCUUUAUCAGAUUCUCUUUUCCGAAGUUGCACCUACAACUACUCAUUGAAAAUAAUCCUAUUCUUAUGGGUAAAUGCCCAAUAACUUAUUGGGUACCGUACGGAGUAUUUGAAACACGGGAAAGAAGUACCACUCGGGUAAUAUUUCCAGAGGAGUUGCAAACGGAUCUGCCGGUUCACCAAUCAUUGAUGGCUCGAGAACCGCUAAACCUACAUUACAUGCAAUAGUACCUAGAAUUACUACUGGAAAAAUAUAUAAAAGAUCGUUGGGCCAUGCGGGUUCCCCGUAAUAAUUAUGUCCCAUCCCUUUAGCUAAUUUAGCUCUUAAUACAGGAUCAUUUAAGUCUGGUUUCUUUGUUACUCCCAUAAUCCGCCUUUUUUCUUUCGUAAAAUUAACUUCAACUAUUUGUAUUGUAUAAAAAUACUUUGGAGUUGAAGAGAAGUAUCCAAAUGACAUGUGUUAUUUUACAAUAACCCAUGCUUGUAGCAAUGAAAUACCAAAACC
rnacentral:rRNA from 1 species